CCUACGGGCGGCUGCAGUGGGGGAUAUUGCACAAUGGGGGGAACCCUGAUGCAGCGACGCCGCGUGGGUGAAGGAGUACUUCGGCAUGUAAAGCCCUAUCGGCAGGGAAGAAGCAAGACGGUACCUGACUAAGAAGCCCCGGCUAACUACGUGCCAGCAGCCGCGGUAAUACGUAGGGGGCGAGUGUUAUCCGGAUUCACUGGGUGUAAAGGGAGCGUAGACGGCCAUGCAAGCCAGGGGUGAAAGCCCGGGGCCCAACCCCGGGACUGCCCUUGGAACUGCAUGGCUGGAGUGCGGGAGGGGCAGGCGGAAUUCCUGGUGUAGCGGUGAAAUGCGUAGAUAUUAGGAGGAACAUCAGUGGCGAAGGCGACUAUCUGGACAGCAACUGACACUGAGGCACGAAAGCGUGGGGAGCAAACAGGAUUAGAUACCCGUGUAGUC
rnacentral:rRNA from 1 species